rnacentral:snRNA from 1 species
CUACCACUCUGGCAUUUUGGCCUAGAUCAAGUGUAGUAUCUGUUCUUUACAGCAUAACCGCUGUGACAGGGACACUGCCCCCUUUAGUUGGUUAGCAAAUUUUUGCCGCCCUAAGUCCCCACGAGCACUGCUUGCAACUCCAGUGACGCGAUGACCUUCUUAUUGCACUUACCAGCUUGUGUCGUCGGGGGAU